UUAGGAAUCUUGCGCAAUGGGGGAAACCCUGACGCAGCGACGCCGCGUGCGGGAUGAAGGCCUUCGGGUUGUAAACCGCUUUCAGCAGGGACGAAGUUGACGGUACCUGCAGAAGAAGGCCCGGCCAACUACGUGCCAGCAGCCGCGGUAAUACGUAGGGGCCAAGCGUUGUCCGGAAUCAUUGGGCGUAAAGAGCUCGUAGGCGGUUCGGUAAGUCGGGUGUGAAAUCUCCACGCUCAACGUGGAGGGGCCACUCGAUACUGCCGUGACUAGAGUCCAGUAGGGGAGUGUGGAAUUCCCGGUGUAGCGGUGAAAUGCGCAGAUAUCGGGAGGAACACCAGCGGCGAAGGCGGCACUCUGGGCUGGUACUGACGCUGAGGCACGAAAGCUAGGGGAGCGAAACAGGAUUAGAUACCCUGGUAGUCCUAGCCCUAAACGAUGGAUACUUGCUGUGAGGGGGAUUGAAUCCCUUUGUGGCGAAGCUAACGCAUU
rnacentral:rRNA from 1 species